AGUCAUGUGAGCAGCAAGCAAACCUGCAGCCCUCCAUCUGACAAGAUAACAUGAGAGGAUACAGAGGCAUCAAGUACACCCUCUUCAUAUUCUGCUACUCUUUCUGGCCUGCUGGACUGGAUGCAGCCGGAGGGGGAGCCAAGACUCACGCUUGAGCAGCACCAGCUGUCCACAGUCCCCACCUGCCUCAAAUCCAGAACCAAUGUUCCUGUGCCCAAAAGACCUGCAAUCACAACACUCAACAACUUCCGUCCAGUUGCCCUCGCCCUCACGGUGAGAAUGAAAUAUUUUGAGAGGAUCGUCUUAGAACAUAUCAAAAAUAACAUCCCUUAGUACACACACCCCUUCCCCCUCAAAAUAUAUACUCCAACAUAUAACACACACACAUGCACACACACACCCUCACAAACACACAUACACGCACACACAUUUUGCAAGGAAGGUGGGACCUAGGACCAUCUGUCCCCUACCCCUUCCCUGGUGGAGGGUACGGGUCCCUUGGUGGCGGCUGCCGUGUCCCCUGGGUGCCGGUCUCCUGGGCCCAGCGGUGCUCU